UUGCGUACACAUCGUGUUAGCUCCUCACUUCUUAUGUUUUUAAGUGUAAGUUUUAACUUCUAAUUCCUUUUGCCCUUAGGUUUUUAGGGUUUUAGUUAUGAGUCCCUCAGAGGACAUUUCUAGCGACUCGGAGGCUAAUAUUUCAAAACAAGAUUUGGCAAAACGUUUAUGUAAGUUGGAACGUAAGCUUCGCAAGGUCAAACGCCGCCAUCGUGAUCGUCACGUUUUCGAAGUAAACGCCGCGCCGUUCUUGUUCUCGCAGCUCCCUUCGCCGCCGGCGUUAUAGAAGACCCAAAACCUUCGGCAACACAACGGUAAUGCCGUGCUCGUGAUUAUCGCAGCCCGACCGGCGCGGAGUCACCGAGACAUAGCGCAGAUCGUUUCUUGCACGAUUCGACAAGCGCUGAACGACUGGUUGAUCAUUUUCCGCGCAAAAUGGCGCCAGCUGCGACUCUAACCUCCAGCGAGGGGGCUCCAGAUCCUCCCGAUUUUGACGACAGGGAGUCUCCUGUUUACAAAUUCAUAAUGAAGACGAUUUGCCGGAGGUUUUUUGCAGGUCUUAGGAGAGGAUCCCCGACAAAACACCCCGGCGCCAUUCAACCUUCACGAAGCUUUAAACUCCCGUUGGAGUCAUGUGAUUGCUAAUGGCCUGUUUUCUUCGGAGCGCGACUCUUAUCAGUUGCCAUCGAAUUGCGUCGCUUUGACCCCACCAAUUCUUAAUCCGGAGAUUUGUUCUAUUUUGUCGGGACCUAACCUAAAACGUGACAAUGCAUACUUGCAACUGCAGACACAACUAAGUCACGGUAGCUCGGCCUUAGCCUCGGCUGUUCAUUUAAUUCUUGAGAGUAAAGAAAUUAUUUCCCAAGAUCUGACAGCUCGCUUAUUGGCAGGAUUGAGUGAUGCAAGUCGCAUACAUUUAGACCUUCUCCAUCAAAUGUCACUCCGGCGUACUCUCAUUUAUCCUUCUCUAAGCAAAUCAGUGAAGGUUAUAGUCGAGAAAUCUACUCCGCUUCAGUUUCUCUUUGGAAACGAGUUAGGAGAGCAAAUAAAAGCUGCAAAAUUAGUGGCUAAAGCUGGGAAGGACUUAAAGGCCCCGCCGGUAUCACACUCCUCCACUGUUUCGUCCAGACGGACUUUUCCAAAGCUAGGCAGGGGGGAAAAGGGAGGAGAGAGCGCUAACCUUAGCCGGCCUUAAUAGCGGGCCGUUAAACCGCAACCGCCCGGCUCGCUCAACGGGCAGAGCUCAGCCAGAGAAGGGCCAGCCCUCAAAAACACGUUACCAUUACAAACGUCGACAGUAGAGUCACCAACAUCCGCUGUCAAGCACACUUACCCUGGUGGCCGCGCACUUAUCUGCGAAGCUUUUCGCAAGAAAGAAGUCCCGGACUGUGCCAUCGACACCAUGGUAGAAUCCAUCUCCGCCUCGACCAUGCGACAGUAUGAAACAACUUAUCGACAGUGGUGGAACUUCUGCAGCGAACGAUCUCUCUCUCCUUAUCAAGCACCCUCCAUAAUAGAAUUUUUACAGCGGGUGUUCGAGGGAAACAAUCUCCAGUACGGUAGCAUGAAUUCCCAUCGCUCCGCGUUGGCGCUUAUUAAUUUGCAACCGCUGUCAAACGAUGCGCGUCUUUCGCGCUUUAUGAAAGGAAUCUCUAGAUUAAGAUCUUCGAAACCGCGUUAUAAUAGCACCUGGGACCCUAACGUUGUGCUUGAGUACCUUCAGAAACUCGGACCUAAUUUUACUUUAACCCUGAAGGAUUUGUCAGCCAACCUAGUUACUUUGUUAGCUCUGGCCACAGGCCAUCGCCUUCAGACAAUCCAGUUAAUCAAAUUAUCAAACAUACAUACCUCUGCACAGGGCAUACAGAUUCCUAUCACUGGCCCCGUUAAAACGUCGGGUUCCAAUCGAUCUCAGCCUUGUCUGCAAAUACCAAGAUUUGCUGAAAAUCCCUUACUCUGUGUAGCUACUACUUUGAUUGACUACAUAGAGGCCACAAAACCCCUUCAGACUCCGAAUCAGGACUACCUGUUUAUUACUUUUAAAGAGCCUUAUAAAACCGCUACCAAACAAUCCAUCAGUCGCUGGAUUAAAAACACAUUGCUUACGGCUGGAUUGGAUACAAAUGGUUUCAAGCCGCAUUCGUUCCGUCACGCAUCCACUUCUGCGGCUUAUAGGCAUGGGCUUUCUCUCUCAAAUACCCUAUCAUCACCGGGCAGCUAGUACAAGAAAACUAUCAUAUUUCAUUUCGGUGAAUAGUUUCGGUUGUAUACACAACCAGUUUACACUGUUUAGUUAGGAUAUUCGGUUAUUAAAGGUUACUUUAUAAGACAACAGAGUUGUCUCAGCUUGCACGGGCCGAAUUAAUCCAGAUCUCUAAACAACUACAUGGUGUAUAAUCUAAGUGAUAUUGAGGAUUGGACACUGAUAUAUAAUUAGUGAUCAAGCGAACUUA